UACGGAGGGUGCGAGCGUUGUCCGGAAUCACUGGGCAUAAAGGGCGCGUAGGCGGCGCGGGUAGUCAUCGGUGAAAGUUCAGGGCUCAACUCUGAAUCGGCCGGUGAUACUCCCGUGCUCGAGCACUGUAGAGGCAGGUGGAAUUCCGGGUGUAGCGGUGGAAUGCGUAGAGAUCCGGAAGAACACCGGUGGCGAAGGCGGCCUGCUGGGCAGUAGCUGACGCUGAUGCGCGACAGCGUGGGGAGCAAACAGG
rnacentral:rRNA from 1 species